CCGCAAACCGACACAGGUAGUCAAGAUGAGAAUUCUAAGGUGAGCGAGCGAACUCUCGUUAAGGAACUCGGCAAAAUGACCCCGUAACUUCGGGAGAAGGGGUGCUCUUUAGGGUUAACGCCCAGAAGAGCCGCAGUGAAUAGGCCCAAGCGACUGUUUAUCAAAAACACAGGUCUCUGCUAAACCGUAAGGUGAUGUAUAGGGGCUGACGCCUGCCCGGUGCUGGAAGGUUAAGAGGAGUGGUUAGCUUCUGCGAAGCUACGAAUCGAAGCCCCAGUAAACGGCGGCCGUAACUAUAACGGUCCUAAGGUAGCGAAAUUCCUUGUCGGGUAAGUUCCGACCCGCACGAAAGGCGUAACGAUUUGGGCACUGUCUCAACGAGAGACUCGGUGAAAUCAUAGUACCUGUGAAGAUGCAGGUUACCCGCGACAGGACGGAAAGACCCCGUGGAGCUUUACUGUAGCCUGAUAUUGAAAUUCGGCACAGCUUGUACAGGAUAGGUAGGAGCCUUUGAAACGUGAGCGCUAGCUUACGUGGAGGCGCUGGUGGGAUACUACCCUAGCUGUGUUGGCUUUCUAACCCGCACCACUUAUCGUGGUGGGAGACAGUGUCAGGCGGGCAGUUUGACUGGGGCGGUCGCCUCCUAAAAGGUAACGGAGGCGCUCAAAGGUUCCCUCAGAAUGGUUGGAAAUCAUUCAUAGAGUGUAAAGGCAUAAGGGAGCUUGACUGCGAGACCUACAAGUCGAGCAGGGUCGAAAGACGGACUUAGUGAUCCGGUGGUUCCGCAUGGAAGGGCCAUCGCUCAACGGAUAAAAGCUACCCCGGGGAUAACAGGCUUAUCUCCCCCAAGAGUUCACAUCGACGGGGAGGUUUGGCACCUCGAUGUCGGCUCAUCGCAUCCUGGGGCUGUAGUCGGUCCCAAGGGUUGGGCUGUUCGCCCAUUAAAGCGGUACGCGAGCUGGGUUCAGAACGUCGUGAGACAGUUCGGUCCCUAUCCGUCGUGGGCGUAGGAAAUUUGAGAGGAGCUGUCCUUAGUACGAGAGGACCGGGAUGGACAUACCUCUGGUGUACCAGUUGUCGUGCCAACGGCAUAGCUGGGUAGCUAUGUGUGGACGGGAUAAGUGCUGAAAGCAUCUAAGCAUGAAGCCCCCCUCAAGAUGAGAUUUCCCAACUUCGGUUAUAAGAUCCCUCAAAGAUGAUGAGGUUAAUAGGUUCGAGGUGGAAGCAUGGUGACAUGUGGAGCUGACGAAUACUAAUCGAUCGAAGACUUAAUCAA
rnacentral:rRNA from 1 species